AACGAACGCUGGCGGCAGGCUUAACACAUGCAAGUCGAACGCCCCGCAAGGGGAGUGGCAGACGGGUGAGUAACACGUGGGGAUCUGCCCAAUGGUACGGAAUAGCUCCGGGAAACUGGAAUUAAUACCGUAUGUGCCCGCAAGGGGAAAGAUUUAUCGCCAUUGGAUGAACCCGCGGCGGAUUAGCUAGUUGGUGUGGUAAAGGCGCACCAAGGCGACGAUCCGUAGCUGGUCUGAGAGGAUGGUCAGCCACACUGGGACUGAGACACGGCCCAGAAUCCUACGGGAAGCAGCAGGGGGGAAUAUUGGACAAUGGGUGCAAGCUUGAUCCAGCCAUGCCGCGUGAGUGAUGAAGGCCUUAGGGUUGUAAAGCUCUUUCGCCGACGAAGAUAAUGACGGUAGUCGGAGAAGAAGCCCCGGCUAACUUCGUGCCAGCAGCCGCGGUAAAAC
rnacentral:rRNA from 1 species